rnacentral:lncRNA from 1 species
GGAGCAGGUCACUGUGGAGAUCAGUGGAGUGAGCUAUGUGACCACCUCAACAAUGAUACUCCUGUGUAAGGGUCUGCAGCGAAUCACAGCCAGACGCCAGAGAGAAGCAAAUUUAAUGUGACCGAGUUGAUGGACACCAUAUGUUCAUCAAUGGACAGAAAGUUCCACAGAAUGGAAUAUAAUCACGUGCUAUCAGAAACGCUGCACUUGACCCCAGGUUUAAGAAGUUAGCCUUCAGUGAUGCCAUAGCGAUUGAUGAGGCUCUUCAAAGAAUAACCUCCGCAGCAGGGAGGGACAGCCCCAGCAGUCAGCUGGCUCAGGCACCAGGGCAUCAGGAAGAAGAGGGAUCAGAUGGAGGGACAGCCCCAGCAGUCAGCUGGCUCAGGCACCAGGGCAACAGGAAGAAGAGGGAUCAGAUGGAGGGACAGCCCCAGCAGUCAGCUGGCUCAGGCACCAGGGCAUCAGGAAGAAGAGGGAUCAGAUGGAGCAGAAGCACCAGCAGUAGUGUCACAAACGUCUGCUGUUUGGAUGCUGUUUGACGAGAGAGCAAC